GCCAGCAGCCAUAUCACCCUGCAACUCACAACUGGUAACCCACUGAAGCUAAGCAGGUAUGAGCCUGGUCAGUACCUGGAUGGGAGACCUCUUGGGGAAAAACUAAGGUUGCUGCUGGAA
ensembl:rRNA 5S_rRNA 5S ribosomal RNA